CCUGGUGGCCCUUGCGAGGGGCCCAGCACCCGAUCCCAUUCCGAACUCGGCCGUGAAAUCCCUCAGCGCCAAUGGUACUAAGCCUCAAGGCUUGGGAGAGUCGGUCGCCGCCAGGC
rnacentral:rRNA from 1 species